AUAUAUAUAUAUAUAUAUAUAUAUAUAUAUCAAAAUAUUUAGAGAAUCAGGCAAAAUACCGAGUGGCAUUUCAUCCGAUAUAGUGACUUCAGAUCUGGCUAUGGUUAAUUUUGCAAUUUAUCCUUUGUGUGUGGGGGUGGUGCAGUAACUUAGAGCACGAAUCAGAAACUGGGGCAAUAUAUCUGACUCCCAA